UACGGAGGGAGCUAGCGUUGUUCGGAUAUACUGGGCGUAAAGCGCACGUAGGCGGCGCCGUAAGUCAGGGGUGAAAUCCCGGAGCUCAACUCCGGAACUGCCCUUGAAACUGCAGUGCUAGAAUUCUGGAGAGGCGAGUGGAAUUCCGAGUGUAGAGGUGAAAUUCGUAGAUAUUCGGAAGAGCACCAGUGGCGAAGGCGACUCGCUGGACAGACAUUGACGCUGAGGUGCGAAAGCGUGGGGAGCAAACAGG
rnacentral:rRNA from 1 species